rnacentral:rRNA from 1 species
UGGGGAAUAUUGGACAAUGGAGGAAACUCUGAUCCAGCAAUUCUGUGUGUGUGAAGAAGGUUUUAGGACUGUAAAACACUUUUAGUAGGGAAGAAAAAAAUGACGGUACCUACAGAAGAAGCAACGGCUAAAUACGUGCCAGCAGCCGCGGUAAUACGUAUGUUGCGAGCGUUAUCCGGAAUUAUUGGGCUUAAAGGGCAUCUAGGCGGUAAGACAAGUGGAAGGUGAAAACCUGUGGCUCAACCAUAGGCUUGCCUACAAAACUGUUGAACUAGAGUACUGGAAAGGUGGGUGGAAAUACACGAGUAGAGGUGAAAUUCGUAGAUAUGUGUAGGAAUGCCGAUGAUGAAGAUAACUCACUGGACAGAAACUGACGCUGAAGUGCGAAAGCUAGGGGAGCAAACAGG